CUACGGGAUGCACCAGUGGGGAAUUUUGCGCAAUGGGGGAAACCCUGACGCAGCAAUACCGCGUGAGUGAAGAAGGCCUUUGGGUCGUAAAGCUCUUUUCUUGGGGAAGAUAGUGACGGUACCCAAGGAAUAAGCACCGGCUAACUCCGUGCCAGCAGCCGCGGUAAUACGGAGGGUGCAAGCGUUGUUCGGAUUUACUGGGCGUAAAGGGCACGUAGGCGGCACAGCAAGUUAAGGGUGAAAUCCCGGGGCUCAACUCCGGAACUGCUCUUAAAACUGCUGAGCUAGAGAUAGGCAGAGGCGGGUGGAAUUCCAGGUGUAGAGGUGAAAUUCGUAGAUAUCUGGAGGAACACCGGUGGCGAAGGCGGCCCGCUGGGGCUAUUCUGGCGCUAAGGUGCGAAAGCGUGGGGAGCAAACGGGAUUAGAUACCCCCGUAGUC
rnacentral:rRNA from 1 species